UUAGUUGAAGCCAAAUCAGAGGCAUUUUAAUGUUAAUAAAAAGAUUGAAUAAUUAUUCCAGCUAAA
rnacentral:tRNA from 1 species